rnacentral:rRNA from 1 species
UGCAUGAAGCUGGAAUCGCUAGUAAUCGCGGAUCAGAAUGCCGCGGUGAAUACGUUCCCGGGUCUUGUACACACCGCCCGUCACACCAUGGGAGUUGGAAAUGCCCGAAGUCAGUGGCCCAACCGUAAGGAGGGAGCUGCCGAAGGCAGGUCCGGUAACCGGGGUGAAGUCGUAACAAGGUAGC